UGUAGAUGUAAAUAAUGGCAGUUGGAGGUCUUACAACUUGAUUUGCAAGUGCAAGCAGUUGGAGACUCAGAUGCCAUCACCUGUGUCUGCAGUCAAUUGCAGGGCUAUUGUUGAAAGGAACUACUAUACCACAGAAGUACCAUAUUUUUAACCAGAUUCAAUGAAUGGUAUACAGAAGGCCAAGUGGGUGCUCCUAUUCCUUUGGAACAAGAUGAAAUUGAAAGGCAGUGAAGCCAUAGAAUGCAAGACUGCAUGAUAUUUUUCAGAGGCCUCUGCCUCACAAUGAGGAACCAACCAAGGAAGCAUUGUUCAAAGAAAAUGACCCCUCCUUAGGAAGUCUGGGAGAUUUAGCCAGUGUCAGCAAAGCCUUGGGAGAGCUAGGAUAUCUAUCUCUCAACUGCUGGCUAAAUGAAAGAGUGGUGGCCCACAUUGGCCAA